rnacentral:rRNA from 1 species
GAUGAACGCUGGCGGCGUGCCUAAUACAUGCAAGUCGAGCGAACAGACGAGGGGCUUGCUCCUCUGACGUUAGCGGCGCACGGGUGAGUAACACGUGGAUAACCUACCUAUAAGACUGGGAUAACUUCGGGAAACCGUAGCUAAUACCUGAUAAUAUAUUAAACCGCAUGGUUCACUAGUGAAAUCCGGCUUUGCUGUCACUUAUAGAUGGAUCCGCGCCGCAUUAGCUAGUUGGUAAGGUAACGGCUUACCAAGGCAACGAUGCGUAGCCGACCUGAGAGGGUGAUCGGCCACACUGGAACUGAGACACGGUCCAGACUCCUACGGGAGGCAGCAGUAGGGAAUCUUCCGCAAUGGGCGAAAGCCUGACGGAGCAACGCCGCGUGAGUGAUGAAGGUCUUCGGAUCGUAAAACUCUGUUAUUAGGGAAGAACAAAUGUGUAAGUAACUAUGCACGUCUUGACGGUACCUAAUCAGAAAGCCACGGCUAACUACGUG